UCCUCCUCCCGACCUGGUAGUUCUGCGCCUGGAAUAUUUCCCCAUGGGCGUUUGUCUCCGGCAAUCCCACAACAGAAAGAUGCUUUGGUUAAUAGAAGCGUGUUUCAAAACUACAUCAAAAAUGUGACUUCCUGAAUCAUCAGGUCUGACUUGUGAUGACAACCAAACAACAGUGACACGAACAGCGACAAUACCUGAGAGUGCCUGGGGAAAGAAACCGCAAUUACCCAUGGGGGGCGAGUCCUGCUGGGGGGGAAUGCUGUGGGCUGGUGCCACCCACCCAGCAGAGCCUGCUUGGCCCCCUGGGGUGCAGGCGCCCGUGAUGCAGCAGCCCCAGGGGACGGGGGGGGGACCCCUUGGGGGGCAGCAGUGGGGUGAGGUCCCUCCAGGGCCCCUGGCAUCGCACCAUCGAAAUGGAGUGCACAGAAAAUAUGCAGCUCGAGUGGUGAUGGCUUGCUGCUUCUCUUCCUCCAGCAUGCACCAAGACAUCCCCUUCCAGGGGAGAGACGGCAGGGUAUGCGUUCUGCUGCUUUAGCAGGUAGACAAAACAUGCAAAUAUUUAUUCAAAGUAAAAAGGAAAAGGACAUUUCCUUUUCCUCCCAGGCGCUGCAGUUAGCUAUGGCUACUCGCUGCCAGGAGAGGACAGCCACAGGAGAUGGUGCACUGUGUUUCUGAAACAGAAGCGUGGAGAAUUCCGGGAGCAGUCUGACCCCAAUCCUGUCAGCACCACAGAGCUCCUCCAAGCAUUGUCUGGGGGAAGCAUGUCAAAGAGACUACAAAAGAAAAAGGAUAUUCAACAUAUUUUUAGUCUAGGGAUGCUGAAUUGAGGAGCAGCAGAGAUAACUACAAUGCUUCGUCAUCCACAUUUUUCAUUUUGUUAAUAAUAUUAAUGCAGCCGAGUGGUGUCUGUCACACUGCUGCUCCUCAGCAUCGUCUCUGGCGUCCAACUCACCCAGACACAUCACACGAAGGACGCGCCCGGUGCAGCCUGCUUCAGGGCACUGCCAUGCCACUCAGCUGGGUUCAUUAGCCUUGGUUUUAUCCUGGCACUGCAAAUCCAGAACACCUUACAUGUGGUGUGGGUUCUGUGUGUCCAUUUUGAACUUCAGACAUAGUUGUGGGUCUCUGUAGCCAAUGAUGAAUACUACAGCUUCUGUGGAGGAGUAUUUCACUCGUGAUUGUAGGGGAUUUCAGUGCAUUUGUGUGUUCUUCUCAGUGGUUUUCUUCCUUUCCAUAAUGGGAAGCUUUGACAUGCAUCUACACCGGGCCACACCUCAAGGCCUGCCAGCAGCUGCCGUCUUUAUUUUACUAAAAGAGAUUUUCACCGUUGAUGAAGCAAUCUGGUAACGAUGCUCUCCAUGUGUAUAAUGGCAGAGCUGCUGGGAGUGCUCAGCUGGAUGCAGUGAUCUGCAGUGGGAGCUGCGCCGUCCCUGGGCAGCAGUGUGUGCCCAGCACAGGGUUUGUAUCUGUGUGUAUGUAUGACUGUGUGUGUGCACCUCCACUGGCACUUUGCAGCCCGCCGUGCAGCACCAACGAGGAAACAUUAUUGCUUCAAGAAGGAAUGAGGAUGGAAAGGCCUCCCCUGGGUAAAGGUGCUGCUGCUGCUUAAUUCUGUUAAAAAAUUAGAAAGGAAGGAAUUGUGCUUUGGCUUCCUGUGGCGUCCCGGUGCCCCACGAUCCCAUGGGGACAGACACCCACCGUCACUCCCAAGCACCGCCCUGCCCCGCAGAACAACCAGGCUCAAAUGAAUGAGGAAAAUGAGAAGGCAGGACUGGAUCUCCCCAGGAGGAGCCCUCUGUAGUCUCACAGUGCUUUAAGACAGUUUCACCCAUGCAGAAUCCUUGUGCUGCUGCUUUCAGGCGCUCUCUUAUCUAAAUGUUGACUCAGCUGUCUCUGUGACACUGCCCAGGAGCAGCUGCUGCCCGAGCCCUGCGGCUCACGAGGACAUCGGGGCUGCAGUGCUCUGAGCACAGUGCUGUGAGUCACUGCGGGCACUCCUGCAUUUCUCCGGGUUUCAGUUUGGUGCUCCGUGGGAUGGGAACAGCAUUGGCAGUUAUUGCAAUAGCAGCGUUCCUUCCCAGGGCUGAAACAUGCGAUGUGGACAUGGAGCCUUCGUGCUGGGACACAGUGCUGGUGCAGAGUGCCAGUCGCUGUAUGUGCUCCUGUAGUUAUGCACUCAGUCUGACACCAGCGCGCCCUUCAUGGCUCCCAGUGUCUCUGCUGAUGGAAUAUCUUCAAAAGAUAUUCCUGGUUUCCACGUUUUGUUUCGUUGUCCAUCCAGGUUUUGCCUUUGUUUGCUGAGGACUUCCAUUUGAACUCCUUGCUGAAUUCAGUCACUGCUUUUCCUGCUCUGGCUUCCUGCAGGAAAUGUGGAACGCUCUCCUGAGCAGCGUCUGUCCGUCCCUGGGAUGUGGCAAUCCGUGCGCAUUUCACAGAUGUGAACUGUAGGUGGUAUUUUCCUCCUGUGAGCUGGCUGUAGUAUAGCACAGCAGUUAUGUAUGCUGAGCCCGUGCUCUCGUCUCUGUAAUCACAGGGUUUGCAGAGCCUUAUGCUGAAUUUAAGCCUUGUUUACUAAAGCAUAUAUACAUGGAUGAAUCGGAACCGUGCCUGCUGCAGUCCUCCCAGGGGAACCAAAUGGAUUCUCUACAGACCUGGGCUCCCAUCAGCCCCCAACAACUCCAGGUGCUCAGGCCGGUGUAGCUCAUGGGGUCAAGAUGGUUCCCUGUUGCUGCAAGGCCUGCAGUUCUGGCACAGCGCGGCGCGGUGAACUCUGCCCUCUGGUUGGUGUUUCACGUCCUGCCUUCUUCUGUACUUGCUGAGCGAUCACACACAGUGAUGGCGUCUCUCCAGCAGGCCCUGCAGCCCUCCCCCCACAGCCCCUUCCGUCCUGCACCCAUCAUGGUGUGCCUGACCUGGCAGCUCCGGUGUGUGCAGGCAGGAGCCCUCCCACCCUGCAUCGGAGCUCCAGUGCCGGAAUGCUGCAGGAAGGAUUUAGCUGGGAUCUGCUUGGUGUCAGAGUGACACCAAGUUAUGGCUGCUCAUCCCCUGCAGAUUAAGCAGUGGUUACUGUAGAGGUAUUAAAUGCAGCCCUCGGCAACAUUAAAAUACCUGUGCAAAGUCUUGGUGCAGUGUGCCUAACAGUGUGAUUUUAAGGCAAUCAAAUGAGGCGGGAGGAACGCUUGGAUGAGGUUUGCCAGCUGAUGCUGUGCUCGUGUCUGUGAGCAGUGCACGUGGCAGUCACGGUCCUGCUGAGCUCUUUGGGGUUCCGCCUGCAGGAGGGAGCGGCUCCUCCUAAUACUGAGCGUCAGAGAGCACAGCUUUGUGUUUGCUGGCUUCAGUCCGCUCUCAUUUGGCACUUUGUCCAAAAACAUCAUUGCCUUUUUCUCACAUCAACAUGACCAGGUCACAUCUCAGUUCCUGUGCCCAUCAGCACGGAGUUCCGCAGAACAAGCUGCCCGGACUCCUGCUGCUCCAGGCACGCACCUCUCCUCCCAUGCUCCCAGCUGUGGAUUUCUGGAACUUCCCUGCCAUGAGCACCCAAUCCCUCGGCUUCAAGAGCUCAUGUGUCAAUGAUGGACAAGUCUGCAGUUUCGUGAAUGAAAAACAAAGCUUUAUUAAAUGUGUACAGAAUGCACAAAUGCAGCUGCGCGUGGUUGGGGUCUGUCGGGGGAGAAGCAGAGGGGUGAAGAUGGCUGUGUGCUGCACAGCUCUGUCGGGCAGAGCCUGGGGCUGCUGUGGGUCCCACUAGCGUGUGGUGAGCGCCAUCUGCUCACGGGAUGAGACCACCUUCCCGUCCUGCACCUCCUCCACGAUGGUGCGCACCUGGCGCGAG